rnacentral:rRNA from 1 species
CAGUCGCCGCGGGAAUACGUAGGGUGCAAGCGUUAAUCGGAAUUACUGGGCGUAAAGCGUGCGCAGGCGGUUAUAUAAGUCAGAUGUGAAAUCCCCGGGCUCAACCUGGGAACUGCAUUUGAGACUGUAUGGCUAGAGUGUGUCAGAGGGGGGUAGAAUUCCACGUGUAGCAGUGAAAUGCGUAGAGAUGUGGAGGAAUACCGAUGGCGAAGGCAGCCCCCUGGGCCAAUACUGACGCUCAUGCACGAAAGCGUGGGGAGCAAACAGGAUUAGAUACCCCAGUAGUCCCUGUCUCUUAUAC